rnacentral:rRNA from 1 species
AUGAGCGCGUCCAGGUUCAUAAAGUGCGUCACCGUGGGGGACGGCGCCGUCGGCAAGACUUGCAUGCUCAUCUCCUACACCUCCAACACCUUCCCCACCGACUAUGUGCCCACGGUGUUUGACAACUUCAGUGCUAAUGUUGUGGUUGAUGGCAACACUGUCAACCUCGGGCUAUGGGAUACUGCAGGUCAGGAGGACUACAACAGACUGAGACCGCUGAGUUAUCGUGGAGCUGAUGUCUUCCUUCUGGCCUUCUCGCUUAUCAGCAAGGCCAGCUAUGAGAAUGUUUCAAAGAAGUGGAUACCUGAGCUGAAGCAUUAUGCACCAGGUGUGCCUAUUAUCCUCGUGGGAACAAAGCUUGAUCUUCGAGAUGACAAGCAGUUCUUUGUGGACCAUCCUGGUGCUGUUCCUAUCACUACUGCUCAGGGGGAGGAACUAAAAAAGUUAAUAGGCGCACCCUACUACAUCGAAUGCAGCUCGAAGACCCAACUAAAUGUCAAGGGUGUAUUUGAUGCGGCAAUAAAGGUGGUACUUGCGCCACCAAAGGCGAAGAAGAAGAAAAAGGCGCAGAGGGGGGCUUGCUCCAUCUUGUGA